rnacentral:rRNA from 1 species
GUGUGGACGCCAGUCUGCAUGGAGCCGGCCUUGAAAUACCACCCUUUAAUGUUUGAUGUUCUAACGUGGACCCGUGAUCCGGGUUGCGGACAGUGUCUGGUGGGUAGUUUGACUGGGGCGGUCUCCUCCUAAAGAGUAACGGAGGAGCACGAAGGUUGGCUAAUCCUGGUCGGACAUCAGGAGGUUAGUGCAAUGGCAUAAGCCAGCUUGACUGCGAGCGUGACGGCGCGAGCAGGUGCGAAAGCAGGUCAUAGUGAUCCGGUGGUUCUGAAUGGAAGGGCCAUCGCUCAACGGAUAAAAGGUACUCCGGGGAUAACAGGCUGAUACCGCCCAAGAGUUCAUAUCGACGGCGGUGUUUGGCACCUCGAUGUCGGCUCAUCACAUCCUGGGGCUGAAGUAGGUCCCAAGGGUAUGGCUGUUCGCCAUUUAAAGUGGUACGCGAGCUGGGUUUAGAACGUCGUGAGACAGUUCGGUCCCUAUCUGCCGUGGGCGCUGGAGAACUGAGGGGGGCUGCUCCUAGUACGAGAGGACCGGAGUGGACGCAUCACUGGUGUUCGGGUUGUCAUGCCAAUGGCACUGCCCGGUAGCUAAAUGCGGAAGAGAUAAGUGCUGAAAGCAUCUAAGCACGAAACUUGCCCCGAGAUGAGUUCUCCCUGACCCUUUAAGGGUCCUGAAGGAACGUUGAAGACGACGACGUUGAUAGGCCGGGUGUGUAAGCGCAGCGAUGCGUUGAGCUAACCGGUACUAAUGAACCGUGAGG